rnacentral:rRNA from 1 species
UACGAAGGGGGGCUAGCGUUGCUCGGAAUCACUGGGCGUAAAGGGUGCGUAGGCGGGUCUUUUAAGUCAGGGGGUGAAAUCCUGGAGCUCAACUCCAGAACUGCCUUUGAUACUGAAGAUCUUGAGUUCGGGAGAGGUGAGUGGAACUGGCGAGUGUAGAGGUGAAAUUCGUAGAUAUUCGCAAGAACACCAGUGGCGAAGGCGGCUCACUGGCC